rnacentral:sRNA from 1 species
AUCCUGAAGAUCUUCGUGGACAAUCUCUUUGCUAUUGUCCUGCUGAAGCAGGCCACAGCUGUGCGCUGCUUGGACAUGAGUGCCUCCCGUAAGAAGCUGGCCGUGGUAGAUGAAAAUGACACUUGCCUGGUGUAUGACAUCGACACCAAGGAGCUGCUUUUUCAGGAACCAAACGCCAACAGUGUGGCCUGGAACACCCAGUGUGAGGACAUGCUCUGCUUCUCGGGAGGAGGCUACCUCAACAUCAAAGCCAGCACCUUCCCUGUGCACCGGCAGAAGCUGCAGGGCUUUGUGGUCGGCUACAAUGGCUCCAAGAUCUUCUGCCUCCACGUCUUCUCCAUUUCUGCCGUGGAGGUGCCACAGGUAACUGGGGGCGCCUGUCCAUUCUUAGCACUGGCAAGGCUGACAAGACCAGGGAAGCCGGGCCCUUUGCUGGUGCUUUGGGGAGAGAAUAGCAAGGAGAGAAGAAUGGCAGCUGUGAUGUUGUGGGAGGCAGUCUGGGCCUGGAACCUGCAGCCCUGUCUCCACUCCUUGCAACCUGUGUGACUGGGGGCAAACAGCUCAACCUCCCUG